GCCUGGGUGGCUCAGUCGGUUGAGCGCCUGACUUCAACUCAGGUCAUGAUCUCGCGGUUUGUGAGUUCGAGCCCCGCGUGGGGCU
rnacentral:tRNA from 1 species